GUGCUCGCUUCAGCAGCACAUAUACUAAAGUUAGAACGAUACAGAGAAGAUUAGCAUGGCCCCUGCACAAGGAUGACACGCAAAUUCGUGAAGCGUCCCCUAUUUUU
ensembl:snRNA U6 U6 spliceosomal RNA